rnacentral:sRNA from 1 species
CCUGGCCCGCCUGCCUGGCCACUCUUCCUCCAUCAGCCUGGCUGGCAGCAGCCUUGGACUCCGCCCGUGGAGCCCUGGGCCUGUUGACCCACCAGCCUAGGAGCACCCACCAAGCUCUGGGUCAACGUGGAGGUACCAGGCCACCAUGCUCAGUCUCAAGCUGCCCCAACUUCUUCAAGUCCACCAGGUCCCCCGGGUGUUCUGGGAAGAUGGCAUCAUGUCUGGCUACCGCCGCCCCACCAGCUCGGCUUUGGACUGUGUCCUCAGCUCCUUCCAGAUGACCAACGAGACGGUCAACAUCUGGACUCACUUCCUGCCCACCUGGUGAGGGGAGGCUCUGCCCCAGGCCGCGGCCUUGAGCUCAGAGGGGGUACCCAGGCGGGCAGGGACCGUCCAGGCCCACGGGCUGCAGCGGCAGUCGCGGGGGUCCGCGGCGGCCUGAGCACGCGCCCGCCGCAGGUACUUCCUGUGGCGGCUCCUGGCGCUGGCUGGCGGCCCCGGCUUCCGUGCGGAGCCGUACCACUGGCCGCUGCUGGUCUUCCUGCUGCCCGCCUGCCUCUACCCCUUCGCGUCGUGCUGCGCGCACACCUUCAGCUCCAUGUCGCCCCGCGCGCGCCACAUCUGCUACUUCCUCGACUACGGCGCGCUCAGCCUCUACAGUCUGGGCUGCGCCUUCCCCUAUGCCGCCUACUCCAUGCCGGCCUCCUGGCUGCACGGCCGCCUGCACCAGUUCUUUGUGCCUGCCGCCGCACUCAACUCCUUCCUGUGCACCGGCCUCUCCUGCUACUCCCGUUUCCUGGAGCUGGAAAGCCCUGGGCUCAGUAAGGUCCUCCGCACAGGAGCCUUCGCCUAUCCAUUCCUGUUCGACAACCUCCCACUCUUUUAUCGGCUCGGGCUGUGCUGGGGCAGGGGCCACGGCUGUGGGCAGGAGGCCCUGAGCACCAGCCAUGGCUACCACCUCUUCUGCGCGCUGCUCACUGGCUUCCUCUUCGCCUCCCACCUGCCUGAAAGGCUGGCACCAGGACGCUUUGAUUACAUCGGCCACAGCCACCAGUUAUUCCACAUCUGUGCAGUGCUGGGCACCCACUUCCAGCUGGAGGCAGUGCUGGCUGAUAUGGGAUCACGCAGAGCCUGGCUGGCCACACAGGAACCUGCCCUGGGCCUGGCAGGCACAGUGGCCACACUGGUCUUGGCUGCAGCUGGGAACCUACUCAUUAUUGCUGCUUUCACAGCCACCCUGCUUCGGGCCCCCAGUACAUGCCCUCUGCUGCAGGGUGGCCCACUGGAGGGGGGUACCCAGGCCAAACAACAGUGAGGCCCCAUCCCUGACCCUGUCCUGGAGGGGGCAGAGGCCAGGCCCCAGUGCUGACGAGGAGCCCAGAUUUGGGCCUAAUCAGGUGGGGAUGCAUCUCAGCCUGGAACCAACAGGGGCUGAGGAGAGAGGGCACAGGAGAGAGGGCAGAGAAGAGGAGGGGUGUCUAGGGGGACUGGCAGAGUGUGAGAGGGACCGUGAGGGGGCUCUUGAUGGGAGUGGAAGAAGUGCUGAGGGUCUGAGAGGGGAGAUGCAUGCGUGUCCAGGCUGAAGAUGCCCCUAUAUUCUGUCAAAGGUUGGCGGGGGGAGGUGUUGGGGUCCUUUCAUCUGGCUCCGUUUCUGGUGCUUCUGGAAGUCUCUGCUCAGCACAGGGAAGAACUAACACGACUAACCUAGGCCUACCCUGAAUGCUUCUUGCUAACCAGGCCGAGAGGCCACACACUUGCCCCCCCCAUCCCCACAAACCAGGUAAUGCCAGUUUGCCAGCAGCUAUUUGCCUAUAGAGAUGAGUCUGUCCUGGUCAUAACUGUGUGCCCAAGGUGUCCAGGCUUUUGGGGGUGGGCCUAUCUGGGUGCAUUAUGGAUGGUUUGGUGGAUUGAGGUGUGGGGAGGAGGGUCCUAGGCUAGAGGGGGUAUCCCUAGUUAGACUUUGGGAAGCCACCUUCAAUGUUUUCUGGAACAAGGAAGGUACAAAUAAAAAAAAAAAACUUUGGAAAGCA